UGUUGCCAGAUGUACGAUAAUUAUCGUAUGUGUACCAUAUUUUUUUACCGCUGUACGAUCAAUAAUGAAAAAAUCCCAUAAUGUACGAUAAUUUCCACAUUUUGUGACCCUUCAAAUGGUCGUUGCUUCUUUACUUUAUCUGUUGAUCCUAUGUCUACCAUCAUGCGUAAUGCCCUUGGUUUUGGCUAGAAGGGAUACAGCUAUGGCCUAAAUCUCGCGAGAUGUUGGUUUAAAAUUAGGUUUGGGGUAGGAUUAGGAUUAAAACGGUCCUGUCUAGAUGGAAUACAGCUAUGACAUAAAUACGGUGAAAUGUUGUGUUUACGGGUUAGGUUUGGGGUAGGAUAAAACGGUGCUCAUUCGGCUAGAUUUCAUGUGAUUUCGGCAGUUGCUGUUUCCCUUCUUGCCACAACUCCAUCUCUUCUGACGUUAUGUAUCGUCGUUGAGAUUGACUCUUUCUUUUUUCAGUUGUUUGACUUUUCGACUAAGCUUGUGGAUUCCCAUUUGAGGUAAAAAGGACUCGACAGAAGCCAGAAGACUGACAUCUCGCCAUCAGGUGAACUACAGAUACAGGGAGGGAAAUACACUGCACUCUCUUCAUGGUUGGGUAUCAGAACUGCCUGCUCCCAGUUAUUUCUUUUCAACAUAUCAUUUCCAUCACCAACAUCAUAAUCACUGGUGGAAUUGCCAGUAAUUUCAUCAUCUUCA